UACGAAGGGGGCUAGCGUUGCUCGGAAUCACUGGGCGUAAAGCGCACGUAGGCGGCUUCUUAAGUCAGGGGUGAAAUCCUGGAGCUCAACUCCAGAACUGCCUUUGAUACUGAGAAGCUUGAGUCCGGGAGAGGUGAGUGGAACUGCGAGUGUAGAGGUGAAAUUCGUAGAUAUUCGCAAGAACACCAGUGGCGAAGGCGGCUCACUGGCACGGUACUGACGCUGAGGUGCGAAAGCAUGGGGAGCGAACAGG
rnacentral:rRNA from 1 species